CCCGCCAUUGUGAGGUACGAACAUAUUACCUUCUCCUCCCUCUCUAUCGUCUUCACAUAUCUCCUUCAAGAACUUUUGAUUAAUCUUAAUUUCGAACUAUCUGUUACCUCGAAUUAGGGUUUCGGAACGAGGUAUACGAUUAUCAAUUCCAAAAUUGAAAUCGAAGAAACACAUAUACCUAGGGUUUAUGAUCGCCAACAUUCUUGACAAUUUUGCUUUUAGGAGCUGCAUUAUCGGGUUUGAAUAAGGCCGGUGAGUAGAGAAAGGAGGUUCAGAAAGAGAUGAAUUUAUUGUGUUUUCAUUCUCUGGGUGCUGUUUGUUGUUUACCGCAGUCAAGUACAGAACUAAGAACAUAAUGGUUAUCGACUUAUGGUAAACGAGGUGCAACAAUGCCAAAAUCUAGAAGCACCCAACAUGUUUUGAGGAGUGAAGCAGGCUCUUGGAUAUGCCCAUAGGAUCGUAUGUAUUACUAAAAUUUGGACAUUCAAUGCUGGCUACCUUCUACUUUUCUUUGCUAAAUAGUACGUUCAGAUGGCACUACAAGACAAAUUCGGCUAGCCAUAGUGAGGAAUCUCUCCCCACAUUCUCGGAAUAGUAAAAUAAUCCUCUCAUUGCCUAAUUGGCUAAUUCUACACAUAAUGAUAUACGUACACGUGGAUUGUUGUCUGUACAGUUGCUUUUCUUACUGGCAUCAAAUAGAUCUAGAUCUUACCUGGGAGACAAUAGUGGUACUUUUUUUUUACUUCCUUCAUACCCUGAUUAUGUAAAGAAUACUCUAUUGCCUACCUUUCUCUCUUUCAUUCUUUAACUCGUGAUCAUCUUCCAUUUCAGUGAAAAAAGGAGAACUGAACUAACCCACCAUGGGUUUCUGUUGCCAUUCCACCACAGCUUCCGCACUUUUCGAACACCCUUUUUGUAGUUUGUUGGCUGGCAUCAACUAUUAUGAGCAGGUACACUUUGCCCGAUUAUCAUUGAGAUUCUGGAGAUUAAAUCAUCAUGGAAGGAAAAUAUAUGAGAUGGGACUUAAUGGAUGAUAAAAAUGGAAAUGCAUUUUGGUCAACUUUCAUUAACUUUAAUAGUAGUACAAUUGAACUUUUCAAGGGGUAUUUAGAAAUUGCUUCUUACAGCAAAAGGUGGAUCACUGGAUCCUGUGAGGCUAUUUUUGUGGGAAGAGGACAAUGUGGAUAAAAAAGUUCACUCAUUAAGUGGGGACCAAUAUUUGUAGCUUUGUUAUUUGGCAAGAACAAAGUUUUCUUUUUCCACUCUAAUAUUUGCUAAAUAAAGCAACAUUAUAAUAAUUUCUAGAUUUCAAUUACGAGCCUGAAAUUGAAUAUCACCUCAACUUUCUUCUGAAGGUCUUUGAUAUACUCAACUGCCAAAUCUAGCAUGUCUGCUGUGUUUGUUUGCUGCAAAGAAACAAGGGUUGUAAAUUUUUUAGCUAAUAAUGCAAUCAAGUAGCACGGUCUCUUAACAUGGAGUUUUGCUGAUUUCUUUAGCGUGUUACUAACCUUGUCCAUGUUGGGAACAAGAUCUUGAAGCUUCCUCAUCCUUUCACUAAUUCUGGUUCUUCUUACCUGUAAUUAAGUAGUAAAAAACAUCAUAAAUGUUUCACUAAGCUCUAAGCCUGUAAUCAAAUUGGCUGAUUAACAAAUAUUUCAAAUUUUUUGGAAGUAAAAUUGAAUUCUUACCCUCUCAGCAAUGCUUCUUGGGUGUGUAGCACAUCCUCUCUUAGCUCUGAUUCUUAGGGGUACUGAGUCUUGGUAUUGCAGGAAUUUUUCCAUAUUUGACAUUUCUGGUAAUGUCUUUGGUAGACUGAGAUGAUGAGUCAAAGGUGGAGGCCGGUGUUUUCCCUCUCCACUCUGACAAAUAACCAGAAUCACAAUCAAAUAGCCAUACACAUAAGUGUGAUUAAGAGGUAAAAGCCACAAAAUAGUCUUAUUUUAUAACCUGAUUUUCUGAUGUAUUUAGCUCAGGAAAUAUCUUUAUGUCCUCAUCUUCAACUCCAUCUAAGCUUGAGUAAUUUUCUGAUAAAAUUGAGUCAUCCCAUGAAUUCAUAGAGAAGCCAUAGUUGCUGUCAUUGUUGUGGUUGUUGCUAGAGUGGCUGAAUCUUUUUUCAUCUAGGCUAUUCAUUCUCAAGCUUUUUGCCGCAACAUCUGAGUUCUGGUUUAUGAGAUCUGAAGUGGAAGCUUGACCUGACGAAACAUUUACCUGAACAUUACCUCCAUUACCACCUCCAUAGUUCCCCAUCCCUCCUAUCAUGCCAUAACCUGCCAUAUGCCAUCAAUCUUAGAAUUCCAAUAGCCAAAACCUAAAAAGUGUAAAGGCUGAAAAUUUGUUGAGAUGUUCUCAGAUCUGCAUAAGAUGGUCAACUUCUUAAACAGUGUUAAAUAGUUAGAUCAAGAAGUUAGAGAAGGGUACCAGUAUCCAUGUUCAGGUUGGCGAAAAAUCCAGCAGGGGAGCUGCUAUGCCUAGUGAGACUGACAUUAUUAUUGUUGAUGCCCACACCACCACCAGUCCUCAUAAGGGGUAUCGAAUUUAUCCCCGAUGAACUAGCAGCAACAGCCUUAAAUGAGUUUUGCAUUGCUGAACUAACAGCUGCAGUGUGCUGGUUUGACAAAGGUGGUUUUGGUGGUAUAUGAUAUAGCAUCUGAGAUUGAGUAUUAAAAUUACUCUGCUGUAGCUGCUGCUGGUGCUGAGUAUCUGUCUCUUCCUUAACCCUGACCGUAUACUCAGGUUGAACUGCAGAGGUUUCUUGUAUGUUGCAUAACUUUUGUGAUGAAGAGUUGUUUUCAGCUCCUAUGCUUGACAUGAAGUUGGCAAAGAUGCUCUCUGUUUCGGGGCUUAGUGGUCUAGCAUUUGUAUAUUCCCGUUUCUCUGCUCCUCCGCCUCCACCUCCACCUACAACUCCAACUCCACCACCUCCACCACCUCCACUAGCACCACCAGUAGUAGUGACAGUAUCUGCAGCAGCAUCAAGAAAACUCGCAAAAUACGAGCUUGGGGCUGAGCGAAACCGCGUGAGAUUGUUUGUUUGUUGCUUUUGAUGGUGAAACUGUCGUGGGAAUUCAUGGAAAUGAUGUGGGUAUUGUUGCUGCUGAAAAUCAGAAUCCAUCUCCCUCCUCUCUUUGGGACUCCAAUUAUCUAUUCUUUCCUUAUUUUAGAUUCCCUACUUACCCAAAGAAAAAAAACCCAAAAAUAGGCAGAGGAAAACAGGGGAAUACAGAACCCUAUUCGACCUGAUCAUAAGUCAUACACAUAACAUAUCUGUAAACUACAUACUUGUGGCUGAAAACAAAGCACUUUGUGCAAGGAAUUUUACAUGUGAACCCAAAAGUAAAAAAGCCGCUGAAUAACAAGCAGAAACCACCAACUACCUCUUCUUUCCACCUCUCUUCCCUCUUUGAGCGGCAAAAUCUGUUUUCUGCGGUAUUUACUACUCUCUGUAUUUCUCUCAGCUCUUCUGCUACUGCUGAAUAUGAUGAUUAUAUUGAUGGAAAGGGGGUAAUGCUGGUAAAUGAUCAAGAGAGAGAUUGUAUUAGAGACAUAAACCUUUUAUUUGGUUCUCCCUUUCUUUUUUUGGAGUAUUUUUUCAGUACUUUAAGCAAUGAGAAGCACUACUGCUUUUAGAUUUGGGUAUUCUAGCAGCAUUUAUUGUUGGAAAAUUUUGUUGCGUCACUAUGAUGGAAGCAUGUGGAAGAGGAUGAAUUGCAAGGGAUGCGUGGUCAAGAAGUUGGCAAAAGUUUGCUGGGCAAUGGGAGGCACAAAGUGAUAAUCUUUUUGUUUGAUGGGUGCCGAUCAUUGAAUUAAUUGUCACUGGACUUUUCACAUCACAUUUUGCCAGGUCAUGCCUCAAAGAAAAAGUAUGAACACUUCCCACUUCGCCAACCUUUAUCCUCAGAGAGUGGUAGGUAAGUCGAUUGUUGUUUCUUUGCUAAGUAUGCUCUACCUCUCAUAAUACUUUGUCUUGUUCUUAGUAUUUGAAUAAUGUAUAUCUCUCAAAAAAACUGUACGAGGAAAUAAGUUGAUUGAAUAUUAUCUUUGCAAUAAAGAGAACCACACUAGUACAAGAAAGUAAAAAUGUGAAGGAUUGUGGCUGUCCUUUUCCAUGUAAGUAUUUUUUGGUUGAAUUUCUACAAAAGGAUUAUGGUAAUACGGGAAAAUAACAUUGGGACAUAUAGGAAUAUUUCACUA